GAUGAACGCUGGCGGCGUGCCUAAUACAUGCAAGUCGAACGCGCAGCGAGAGGUGCUUGCACCUUUCAAGCGAGUGGCGAACGGGUGAGUAACACGUGGAUAACCUGCCUCAAGGUUGGGGAUAACAUUUGGAAACAGAUGCUAAUACCGAAUAAAACUUAGUAUCGCAUGAUAUCAAGUUAAAAGGCGCUACGGCGUCACCUAGAGAUGGAUCCGCGGUGCAUUAGUUAGUUGGUGGGGUAAAGGCUUACCAAGACGAUGAUGCAUAGCCGAGUUGAGAGACUGAUCGGCCACAUUGGGACUGAGACACGGCCCAAACUCCUACGGGAGGCUGCAGUAGGGAAUCUUCCACAAUGGGCGCAAGCCUGAUGGAGCAACGCCGCGUGUGUGAUGAAGGCUUUCGGGUCGUAAGGCACUGUUGUAUGGGAAGAAAUGCUAAAAUAGGGAAUGAUUUUAGUUUGACGGUACCAUACCAGAAAGGGACGGCUAAAUACGUGCCAGCAGCCGCGGUAAUACGUAUGUCCCGAGCGUUAUCCGGAUUUAUUGGGCGUAAAGCGAGCGCAGACGGUUGAUUAAGUCUGAUGUGAAAGCCCGGAGCUCAACUCCGGAAUGGCAUUGGAAACUGGUUAACUUGAGUGUUGUAGAGGUAAGUGGAACUCCAUGUGUAGCGGUGGAAUGCGUAGAUAUAUGGAAGAACACCAGUGGCGAAGGCGGCUUACUGGACAACAACUGACGUUGAGGCUCGAAAGUGUGGGUACAAACACGAUAGAUACCCUGGUAGUCCAAGGGCGAAUUCCACAGUGGAUAUCAGCUUAUCGAUCCGGCGACCUCCAGGGGGGCCCGGUACCCAGCUUUGUCCCUUUA
rnacentral:rRNA from 1 species